CAUGUUUUGAAAGACAGCAGAUGACAGGCGCUGUCUUCAUAGACCUCUCAGCAGAUUAAAGGGGGCAGUCUGAACAGCAAUCGUAUCUCCCAAAGGUCCAGCUGCCUUCGGAGGACUGGGUCACAGGGGAGACGGUGCUCAGCGGCUGGCAAACCACGGGCUUCGACAUGGUCUCAGGGAAGACAGGCCUGAACUGCAGUUGCAAUGCCUUUGCAAAGAGGACUCUGGAGGCUUUUUAGCUGUGAACUUGAUGCUACAGUUACUUGUGGUAUCCGAUGGAUGAUGCCACAGGGUUUGAGCAAUGCAGGAAGUGGGCAUUGCAGCGGGUGCUGGGGCUAUUUUGAACCACAGUUAUAGUGUCAUGAUUCCAGUUUAAAUGCAAUGGCAACCAUCUAUGGAAUCUCAGUAUUUGGAGAUCAGGGAUAUUAGGAAUUUUCUUUCCCCAGAGCUCAGUACCUUCUAGUGCAUGUAUUUUAUAAUGGUGUGUUUUGAUAUAUGCAUUUUAUUGUAUGUAUUUUAUGUUGAUAUGUUUUUGGCUUUGUUGUUAGGAGAGGCGGGUAACAAAUAAAUUGUAUUAUUGUUAUCAUCAUCAUCAAACUGAAAGCGAUGGGAUCUCAAUCAUGAAUCAUACCAGAAAAUGGGGCCUGAGCUUCUCCAGAAGGCCUUCAAAGCACAAAGCUGGGGAAACUGUGCUGUGGGUCACUUGGCCAGGGAUGUUCCUGGCCAAACUCCUUGCCUCAGAGGCUUGUAGCCUUGCUGCCUUGCUGUUAUCACUGACCAGUGACUGGGGAUAACAAGUGAGGAUUCUCUUUCGCUCACUAUCUUCCCUCCAUCUGGGAAGGCAAGAUACCUACAAAAUGACCACCUUGCUCUACAUCCUCUCCAAGGGGGAGGCAGAACACCUUCACGGGGGCACCUGAUGGACACCCCAGGCUCCCCAUUUCUUACCAGGGAAGACCAAGGAGCUGUGGAGACAACUCUAUCUGGUGAAUCAACUGGGGAAUGGAUGAUAUCAUGGGAAGUGGCCCAAACAUUAUCCUCUCCUGCCCAAAAUCUGCCAUCUUUGCCCUACUUAAAACAGGAAGUUCUCAUGUGACACGAGUCUGGCCUUAGUGACCUUAAGUGUUGCAGGAUAAACAACCAACAGAUGUUAGGCAAGAAGUUACAGUAUCAACUACAAUAUUAACUGUAGCUAUUAUUAAUAUAUCACUGAGGGAGGGAAGUUUUCAAUUUGCAUUAAGUGGUGGGACUGCUUUUUUUUUUUAAUCCCUCUUUAAACAACUAUGGAUCAGUAUCCUAUUUUCUUUUUUUGGGCAAGCUGAUUUGCAAGGGUGGUUUCCCACCAACUCCAGGCAGUCCUGGAUGAUACAGGCAUACAUGAUAUUUGAGAUAACAAUUUAAACAUGUAAUGAGAGACACUUCCCCGCUCUGCACUUCCAAGUCCUCUGUCUGGAAGACAUUACAAGAGCUAAACCAUAAUUCCACUGAUCAUGGUUUGUUAACUGUAUCUAAGGCAGGAAGAAAACGCAUGUACAGAAAUGGCAGAGUGAAGGCAUGUAUAUUAAACAAUUUAUUGGCAUGUUCCUUUCUAGGUUGCUCAAUAUGAGCCCCUCUGACACAGGAAGGCUUUCAUCUAUACUGGGGUCCCUUUGGUCUGUUGCACCUUCUUUUUCUUUGACUUGGUUCUCCGUGGGGCCCUUUGCCUCGGUUUCAGCUUCCCCUCGGCUUUUAGCUUCUGCGCCUCUUGGAAAACCUAAAAGAUCAAGAGAAGACAUAGAGAAGGCAGUCAGGGAUCCAUCAGUACCUAGGCAAGGGCAUUUGCCUGGUCUCCAAUGAUUCCCUAUGGAGCUGGUUCCCUUCAUUUGCAUCCGUUUCACUUUCUAAGUCCAGGAUUGUGACCCCAAUAUAUUCUGAGACUCACUUGGUGGCCUCCAGCACGAACAUUUCCUAUCCUAACAAAAGUUCUCCUUUCUAUCUGAGCUGCAUUUUAAGCCACACCUAUCUGGGCUUCAAGGGUCUUAAAGAGAAUAAGAUAGUAUAAGAAUGAAGUUUUAAGGAAGUUGGAAAAGGAAAGACUGAGACAGGAGGGAAGAGGGAUUGGAGGACUUGAAAAAGAAAAUUUACUCUGCCAGUCUGUGAGUCAAAACAAGAGAGGAGUUGUAUAAAAGCACAUUUUUUCCUGUCACCUGAUGACUUUGCUCUGCAAAUUAAAGCUAUUGAUUUAAAUCUCCUCAUCUCUAGUGUCUGAUUGGAAUACAGAUACUAGGGGUUUGGGGACAAAAAGUCUCAAUAGUCCCACCUUGAGGCACAGGGCCUUUUUGGCCACCCAGCGCCGCGUGAUCCGGCGACAGAAAGCCGGAGGGGGCGUGUACUCGAUGCCCAGCUGCUGGCAAGUCUUCUCAAAGGCAUCGUAGCGGCUACGGCGCAGGUACUUCAGCAGCUUCCUCCGGCGGUCAAUGGCCAUCAUCAUGUGGCGGCGGUUGAACUUGUCCUGGAGGGGAAAAUGCAGUUCUACCGACUGUGCAAAAAUGCAAUGCGAGAGGUGGGAAACUACAUGAGGUGUAAGUUUGCUGUUUUCCUCUUUUGGCUGCCCUCUUCCAUAUAGGCCACACUAGCAUAUUCAUAGCUACCUGGAACCGCUUAUGGUUUUUACUUUGUCCAGUUUGGAUAUAUUUGAGAAACGUGAAUUUUGAGGUUUGUGGUAACUUUUUGAGACUGGUUUGGUCUUUGGAUUUGUCCAGGUCCUGAGGAUCUUGAAGGGAUUAAUGACUUCAUUUAGUUCACUUUCCCCCUGUACUGCAGCCCACUUUUAAAGGCUCUUCACUGAUUCCAUUGCCCGGUUAUAAAUCUAAUGACUAAAAUUAAUUGGAUUCACUUACUACAAAAUUACAGUGCAAGCAACUCUGUAUUUUCAUCCAUAAAGUUCAUUACAAAGUAAAAGUCAAUAAAAACAACUGUGAGAAGGAAAUGCUUUCAUCACCUUAUGUGAGAAUGUGAAACAUACCCUGUUACAGCAAAUCACAAGACUUAAAGUCACCUAAAAAAUUAAGCAACUUCCAUGCCAACCGAUAUUGUGCAAAAUGUCAUUUCAGUCUCGAACCCUACUAGCCAGCCAGUUUCAGCAUGAAAUACUAGCAACCUGCUUAUCAUCACCCAUGGGCUUCAUUGCCAUCUUCUCGUAACAUUUUGCUGACUUUGGAGUAAUUUUAUAAUGCUUCCUGCAAUAGGAUGCAAGAUAUGUAACCUGUUCUAGAGAAAGUUACCUUGGGGUGCAUAUGCAGAUGUUCCUGUAGUGUGCGGAUCUUGGCCGUCAAAUAUGCAACUGGAACAAAAGAAAACCACUAAGCAAAGGCUAUUUCCACAAGAUGAAACUGGGAUAUUUUCCUAUCCCAGUUUUAAUAAUUUGUAUUUAUUGACUAGAACAUAUCCUAUUCCCCUUGGGAAGAUGGGGCAAAAUAUAAAUAAAGCUAUUAUUAUUAUUGUUGUUAUUAUUA